rnacentral:sRNA from 1 species
GCCUACUAUAGGGGGGAGCUGCCUGCCUGCCCACGCACCUUGGUGGGUCAGGAUGGCGUGCCAUGGGGCUCCCUCCCAGCGCCCCAGCAAGCUUUCCCAAGCAUGCUGGUGCGUUUUUCCAUGGCCAUGUGGGAAAUUCGACCGAGUCAAAAAUAGUCCACGCCGAAUCCAGGUCGUACGUGUCCCGGUUCUGGCUGGUCCAACGGAAAAAUGUGGGCAUCUCGUAGUGAGCUUAUCCGGCACCAUGACACAUUUGGCGUGCAGCAAGUUCUUUGCUUGUUCCUCAAGGUCCAAGUCAAAAAUCUUGAUGCCUUCGUCCCUUUGGUCGAGGUGCCGGUCUGGCAUCACAGUGGGUAGUUGCGGUCAUCCCUCGGACGUGCCGAGGCAUCCAGUGUGACCCGUUCCGCACGGAAGGUUGUGGCGCUAGGUGAAGCCUUCACGGGCAUAUCCUUAGCACGAAGGGGGCAAGUUCCCAAUCAUCCGGAAGUGCACUAUGGGCGGUUCAUCAUGGUCGAAGCCAAGGCGCGGCCGUGUUUGACGCGAUCAGCAACGUCUCUCCAGUCGCCUCGUCCCUCGGAAAAGUGUGCUCUGUUGAGGUGCCGGCCUGGCCUCACAGUGCCGAGAUGGGUAGUUGUGCGCAUCCCUCGGACGCGCCGAGGCUUCUAGUGUGACCCGUUCGGCACGGAAGGAUGUGGGUCUACGCGUUCCCUUCAGUGGCAUAUCCGUAGCACUGAGGGGCAAGUUCCCAAACAUCCGGAAGUGCACUCUGGGCGGUUCAACGCGGUCGAAGCCAAGGCAAGGCCAUGGUUGAAGCAAUCAGCAACGUCUCUCCAGUCGCCUCGUCCCUCGGAAAAGUGUUCUCUGUUGAGGUGCCGGCCUGGCCUCACAGUGCGGAGAUGGGUGGUUGUGCGCAUCCCUUGGACGCGCCGAUGCUUCUAGUGUGACCCGUUCGGCACGGAAGGAUGUGGGUCUACGCGUUCCCUUCAGUGGCAUAUCCGUAGCACUGAGGGGCAAGUUCCCAAACAUCCGGAAGUGCACUCUGGGCGGUUCAGCACGGUCGAAGCCGAGGCAAGGCCAAGGUUGAAGCAAUCAGCAACGUCUCUCCAGUCGCCUCGUCCCUCGGAAAUGUGUGCUCUGUUGAGGUGCCGGCCCGGCCUCACAGUGUCGAGAUGGGUAGUUGUGGGCAUCCCUCGGACGUGCCGAGGCUUCUCGUGUGGACCGUUCUGCACGGAAGGAUGUGGCGCUAGGUGUUGCCUUAAUGGGCAUAGCCGUAGCACGAAGGGGCAAGUGUCCAAGCAUCCGGAAGUGCACUUUUGGCGGUUGAACAUGGUUGAGGCCAUGGCGCGGUAGUGGUUGAGGCCAUCAGCAUCGUCUCUGCAGUCGCCUCGUCCCUCGGAAAUGUGUGCUCUGUUGAGGUGCCGGCCUGGCCUCACAGUGCCGAGAUGGGUAGUUGUGGGCAUCCCUCGGACGUGCCGAGGCUUCUCGUGUGACCCGUUCUGCACGGAAGGAUGUGGCGCUAGGUGUUGCUCUAAUGGGCAUGGCCGUAGCACGAAGGGGCAAGUUUCCAAGCAUCCGGAAGUGCACUUUUGGCGGUUGAACAUGGUUGAGGCCAUGGCGCGUUUGUGGUUGAGGCCAUCAGCAACGUGUCCCCUGUUGCCUGUCCCUCGGAAAAGUGUGCGCUGUUGAGGUGCCUGCCUGGCCUCACAGUGCCGAGAUGGGUUGUUGCGGAUACCUCGGAAUUGUCGUGUGUUCAUGUGUGGCCUGAUCUGCACGGAUGGUUUUGGUAAUAUCUUCAGGCACGAAGGGUCAAGUUCCCAAGCAUCCGGAAGUGCACCCUGGGCGGUUCAACACGGUUGGAGCCAUGGGGCGGUCGUGGUCGAAUCAAUCAACAAUGUUUCUCCUGUCGCCUUGUCCCUCGGGAAAGUGUUCUGUUGAGGUGCCGGCCUGGCCUCACAGUGCAGAGUUGGUUUGUUGCGGGGAUCCCUCGGAAUUGUCGUGGCUUCUACUGUGGCCCGUUCUGCACGGAAGGUUGUGGUGCUCGGUGAACCCUUCAUGGGCGUAGCCGCAGCACCAUGGGUCAAGUUCCCAAUCAUCCGGAAGUGCACCCUGGGCUGUUCAACACGGUUGGAGCCAUGGGGCGGACGUGGUCGAAUCAAUCAGCAAUGUUUCUCCUGUCGCCUUGUCCCUCGGAAAAGUGUUCUGUCGAGGUGCCGGCCUGGCCUCACAGUGCAGGGUUGGUUUGUUGCGGGGAUCCCUCGGAAUUGUCGUUGCUUCUACCGAGGCCCGUUGUUCACGGAAGGUUGUGGUGCUCGGUGAACCCUUCUUGGGCGUAUCCGCAGCACCAUGCAUGGGUCAAGUUCCCAAGCAUCCGGAAGUGCACCCUGGGCUGUUCAACACGGUUGGAGCCAUGGGGCGGUCGUGGUCGAAUCAAUCAGCAAUGUUUCUCCUGUCGCCUUGUCCCUCGGGAAAGUGUUCUGUUGAGGUGCCGGCCUGGCCUCACAGUGCAGAGUUGGUUUGUUGCGGGGAUCCCUCGGAAUUGUCGUGCCUUCUACUGUGGCACGUUCUGCACGGAAGGUUGUGGUGCUCGGUGAACCCUUCAUGGGCAUAUAUGCAGAGCACGAAGGGGCGUAAGUCCCAUAAUCUGGUAGUGUGUUGUGGGUGGUUCCCAUGGCGGAAGCGAGGGUC